UACGUAGGGGGCUAGCGUUAUCCGGAAUUACUGGGCGUAAAGGGUGCGUAGGUGGUUUCUUAAGUCAGAGGUGAAAGGCUACGGCUCAACCGUAGUAAGCCUUUGAAACUGGGGAACUUGAGUGCAGGAGAGGAGAGUGGAAUUCCUAGUGUAGCGGUAAAAUGCGUAGAUAUUAGGAGGAACACCAGUUGCGAAGGCGGCUCUCUGGACUGUAACUGACACUGAGGCACGAAAGCGUGGGGAGCAAACAGG
rnacentral:rRNA from 1 species